ensembl:snoRNA
CUCCCCAUCUUACACCAGGGCCUCCUGGUGCUGGAAAGCUCUGUUUUUCAAAUGGGGUAAAAUAAAGUGCUUUCUUCCCUCCCUGCUGGAUAGUGUUCCUUCCAGGGUCUACAAACGAGCGCACAUU